GCAAGUGGAUAUGUAACUUUUAUUUUGCUAAUAAAAGUUAUAAAUGGUUUGAAUGACAUUUCCUGCUGUUUUCAUUGAGAGCUCAACUCAAAACAACAUGUGCUUCAAGACCAAGGUUGACAGGAUCAUAGAAUACUAAAGAUGAAGGAGACUUCAAGAUCUUCUAAUUCAGGGGCUUGUACAGUAUUUUCUGAAGCAUUGAUGUUCCUUUUUCAAGCAGCUUUAUGCCAGAAUCAAAUAUUUAACCCAAAUAAAAGGACCUGGGAAAGGACAACCAUUGACAUCUCCCUUAGCCCCUUACUAGACUGAUCAAACUUGGCAAACUGAUACAUUGGCAUCUACCAGUGAACUUCACUUCCUGGUAUUUAUACCUUCACUUCCUGGUAUUUAUACCUUCACAUAGUUUCUUACUAAUGAAAACGACACUGCCAAUUCAGUCCUAACUCUUUAGAAGCCUGCAUUUUCUUUCACCCUCUUGGAAUCCAGCUACCAUGCAGUAAGGAAGAUCAGACUAUCCUUUGGGAGAGAGAAGCCACAUGGAGAGGCCUUGGAGAAUGAGAUCAUACGGAGAGAGGCCUUCAUGUAAAUACAGUACUUCAGUCAACAGCACCAAGGAACCAGUUAAAUUAGAGGACUUACCGGACAUUCCAGCAUAGCCUACUUGCCAGCUCAGUGCAGCCUCAUGAAUGACUCCAAACAGCACACAGAGGAGAAGGAAUCCACAGAUUAUUUUUUAAUUAUGCAUGUUUUAAGCCAGUAAAUUAUAAAGUGCUUUUUUUAUACCACAAAUGCACUAGUCUUCGGGCCUCUCCUGGUGGUGCAGCAGUUGAGCGCUGGGCUGCGAAGCUGCCAGCAGCCUCUGCAGCGCCAGUUCGAUCCCCAGGU